rnacentral:rRNA from 1 species
CGACUCCACGAAGCUGGAUUCGCUAGUAAUCGCGCAUCAGCCACGGCGCGGUGAAUACGUUCCCGGGCCUUGUACACACCGCCCGUCAAGCCAUGGGAGCCGGGGGUACCUGAAGUGCGCUGCCGCAAGGAGCGUCCUAGGGUAAAACCGGUGACUGGGGCUAAGUCGUAACAAGGUACC